rnacentral:lncRNA from 1 species
UUAGUGCUGUAAUUUAGAAUUUAAGUUGAUUUUAUUUACAAUAGAGUUGGAAAUUACGGAUUUAAAAAAAAAUUGGAAUCAAAUAUCUAUAAAUGUGGGGGGCUAAAAUUUAAUUUUUUAAAGAAUUAGCUAAAUUUCAUUUAUUGUUCCUGAUCUUUCCAAGAAUUGUUUUUUUCUAUCAUAGUACGUUAAUUUUCUUAAAACAGCCCCCGGUAUUUAAAAAAAUAAGUAAGGAUAUAAAAUGGUUUUUCGUUGACUUAUCACUCAAGCAGUAUUUGGUUGGACUCUGUGGUCACUGAUGAGACAAUUCACAGGAAAAGUAAAAAAAACAAAAAAAGUCCAAGACUGAUGGUUGAUAAUGAUCAUCAUCAUGUGGUAGUAUGAAAACGAAGUUUUGGUGGGUGUGGAGGAGCAUUACUGCUUUAAUAAUUUGUUCAAUUUUUCAAAGGAAGAUAUAUUCAACAAGACAUUACUCAUUACUACAGCUGCUACAAGAUAAAAAAAAGAAGCAUUUUGGUAAUCAAAUUGAAAGGGAAUUCACAUUUUGGUAAUCAAAUAAAAAUAUACAAUAUUUUUAUUUUUUCUAAAUUAGUAUUUAAAAGACAUAUUUGGUGCACAAUAUUAAAUUUUAUUUCAUAAUUAUUAUUUUUUCCUAUAACAAUUGUACCUUUAAGUUACAGUACCUCAAUACUAAACAAUAUCUUACGUGCUUUACAAGUCAUAUUAUUAGCAUUCUACUCGUAUCAAUUAGAGACGAUGACAAUACAAAACUUUGAUGAUGUUUUGAGAUAUAUUCCUAUCCCAUUCCCGUCCAUUAAUAACGGACAAGCGAAAGCAAUUUUUCUUAGGUACUGAAACUAAGCAAUAACAAGUUGCUGGUUGCUUCAUUUUUUUUUAUUUUUUUUAAUUACUGUCAAUAAAAAUCAGCCUUUCCUUAGUACGUUACAAUACACAAUUGCACACUAUUACUGGCUUUUAGCGGGUAUUUGGAGGUGCCGCGGUGAAAUAGAUUAAACACAAAAUUAACCGGAUGCUCCCUUAAGCCAACCUUGGAUAAGGGCGGUAAUAGUUGAUGGCUUUAGUUUUCGUUUUUGUAUUGCUUUUUAUAUAUACCGUCGCGUUGGCAAAAUGGCCAGAGCUGGUUCAAGCCCGCGACGACCUGGCCUAGGCCGCAGGAUAAAAUUAUGAAUAAAGGCUUGGAAAAUAUAAGGGCCGCACAUAUUGGACUUGGAUAAGGGCCCUUUAAAAAAGAGCUCGGGCUUU